AAUCCCGAUCUCUUGGACCACAGG
rnacentral:miRNA from 1 species